rnacentral:rRNA from 1 species
GACGAACGCUGGCGGCGUGCCUAAUACAUGCCAGUAGAACGCUGAAGGAGGAGCUUGCUUCUCCGGAUGAGUUGCGAACGGGUGAGUAACGCGUAGGUAACCUGCCUGGUAGCGGGGGAUAACUAUUGGAAACGAUAGCUAAUACCGCAUAACAGUGGAUGUUGCAUGACAUUUGCUUAAAAGGUGCAAUUGCAUCACUACCAGAUGGACCUGCGUUGUAUUAGCUAGUUGGUGAGGUAACGGCUCACCAAGGCGACGAUACAUAGCCGACCUGAGAGGGUGAUCGGCCACACUGGGACUGAGACACGGCCCAGACUCCUACGGGAGGCAGCAGUAGGGAAUCUUCGGCAAUGGACGGAAGUCUGACCGAGCAACGCCGCGUGAGUGAAGAAGGUUUUCGGAUCGUAAAGCUCUGUUGUAAGAGAAGAACGAGUGUGAGAGUGGAAAGUUCACACUGUGACGGUAUCUUACCAGAAAGGGACGGCUAACUACGUG